rnacentral:rRNA from 1 species
GAUGAACGCUGGCGGCAGGCCUAACACAUGCAAGUCGAACGAGGCAGCAAUGCCUAGUGGCGGACGGGUGAGUAACGCGUGGGAACGUGCCCCUUGGUACGGAAUAGCCCUGGGAAACUGGGAGUAAUAUCGUAUGUGGUCGAGAGACGAAAGCUUUAUCGCCAAGGGAUCGGCCCGCGUUGGAUUAGGUAGUUGGUGGGGUAAUGGCCUACCAAGCCGACGAUCCAUAGCUGGUUUGAGCGGAUGAUCAGCCACACUGGGCCCGAGACACGGCCCAGACUCCUACGGGAGGCAGCAGUGGUGAAUCUUAGACAAUGUGGGAAACCCUGAUCUAGCCAUGCCGCGUGAUCGAUGAAGGCCUUAGGGUUGUAAAGAUCUUGCAGUGGGGAAGAUAAUGACGGUACCCACAGAAGAAGCCCCGGCUAACUCCGUGCCAGCCGCCGCCGUAA